UACGGGGGAUGCAAGCGUUAUCCGGAUUUAUUGGGUUUAAAGGGUGCGUAGACUGUGAGGUAAGUCAGCGGUGAAAUGCCCCCGCUCAACGGGGUGAAGUGCCAUUGAUACUGCCUUGCUGGAAUGCGGAUGCCGUGGGAGGAAUGUGUGGUGUAGCGGUGAAAUGCAUAGAUAUCACACAGAACACCGAUUGCGAAGGCAUCUCACGAAUCCGCGAUUGACGCUGAUGCACGAAAGCGUGGGGAGCAAACAGG
rnacentral:rRNA from 1 species